UGAAAUCAACAAACCAUCGUAUCGAACGCAGUUUACUCGGCCCUCGGCGAUGGUCCGCCAACCGAACGGUUCGAAUCAGAUUGCUUCGCCGAACACCGAGCACAGAACAUCUUCGCAUUAACCGAGGAAAUAAUUUUCGAACCUAUCGCAUGCUUACGCUCGGUGCACAUUUUUGAGUAAAUUUGCAGAAGCAUCGGCGUUCGGUUCGCAAUUUACCACCACUGUAGAAUAUUGUAGGUCAUGAAUCUGAAAAGUUGCUCGAAUGGGCUUGCAAAAACACUGUCACAGUUUGUUAUACUGAUGAGAACAGUGUGUUCGGUUCCACAUUGAGUAUAUCGAUUCAAUCCUUCUUAAACAAGUAAAAUGAACGAUACAUAAAAUGGAUUCAACGAUUCAAAAUCGAGUCAACGAAAACUGCUUGGGUGCAAUUCACCUUUAUCUGGCAAUAUAUUUCGUUCCCCCCAGUUUGAGCCGUCCAACUAAGCGAGUAAUACUGAGGACUUCUUCUGUACCCGCUGCUUCCUGUCCCUACUAAGGAGCUGAGCCAUAUUUUUAUCGAUUGUCGUUCAAUGCGUGUCGUCAAUUUGUAAACGGAU